GACGAACGCUGGCGGCGUGCUUAACACAUGCAAGUCGAACGGAGUGGCGAACGGGUGCGUAACACGUGGGUGACCUGCCUUGCACUUCGGGAUAAGCUUGGGAAACUGGGUCUAAUACCGGAUAGUGCAAGAUGGGCUCGCGGCCUAUCAGCUUGUUGGUGGGGGAAUGGCCUACCAAGGCGUCGCCGGGUCGCCGGCCUGAGAGGGUGUACGGCCACAAUGGGCCUGGGAGAGGGCCCAGUCGGGAACGGGAGGCAGUGGUGGGGAGUAUUACACAGUGGGCGGGAGCCUGAUGCAGCGGCGCUGGGUGGGGAAUGCAGGGUUUCGGGUGGUAAACUCCUUUGGACGGGGACGCGGUACCUGUAUAGGAAGCACCGGCUAACUACGUGCCAGCAGCCGCGGUAAUAC
rnacentral:rRNA from 1 species